rnacentral:rRNA from 1 species
GGAGUUUGGGCCGUUCUCAGUCCCAAUGUGGCUGUUUCGCCUCUCAGCGCAGCUACGCAUCAUCGACUUGGUGGGCCGUUACCUCACCAACUAUCUAAUGCGCCGCAGGCUCCUCCCAAAGUGACACAAUUGCGUCUUUCAAAAGUUAUCAUGCGAUAUCUUCUAUUAUCCGGUAUUAUCAGCCGUUUCCAGCUGUUAUCCCAAUCUUUAGGACAGAUUGCCUACGUGUUACUCACCCGUUCGCCACUAGAAGCCGAAGCUUCCCGUUUGACUUGCAUGUAUUAGGCAUGCCGCCAGCGUUAAUC